UCAAUUUCUGAUGCAGACAAAAUUUCUGUUCCAGACAUGCAGUAAUGCGGACAGCACCAGUAUAAAGCAACACACUCCAUGUACUAAACAGAAGCUGCUGCCUGCUAUAACAAGGCCGUUGUGUGGAUUUUGGCUGCUACUACAAGAGUCUGUGCCAAACACAUCUUGGUCAUCACAGGAGCUCCCAUCUACACCAACAGAAAGGGGCUGGAGGCGAAUUUGCAAGGCUUUUACACUACGAACAAAGAAGCGCACGCAGAAGAAUUUGGAUGAGAUAUCAAGUCUGCAGAGGGCUGUGUCAAGACUGAAAAGAGCUUCAGCCACCAGCACGGACAUUUGGCCGAGUCAUCCAGAUGCAGUACCUAAACAAGGGCGAGUUGGUCAGAUGUCCGAAACUGAAGGAAAACAACAGAAGGGCCUUGCACAACUGUGCUGCACAAGCCCUGCUUGCAUGUGGCAUAAGACAAAGAAAAAAGAAAAGACAUUGUUCUUCCGGUUCCCUUCUAAGCAAUGGCUGUAACAAACAGUACAGCACCACUUUGUUUUGGUUGGGAGUGAGCACAGCUUUUGCCUUGUUUAUUUGUUACUUCUGCAGUGCCAACCCCGAUGCUCAGCUUGACUGCAAAUAUAAUGAAGUGACUGUUGGCACAGGAUUAAAGCGACACUAAAGGCAAAAUUUAGGUCAAGCUAAAGUGAUAGAUCAGCGCUUGAAAAUUUCCAAGGCAUCAACAUUAUCGCGAACAGAGCCUUAAUAAUAAAGAAAUUGAGGUAAAUGCAGGACAUGAUUAGAGGAUCCCUCUCAACAUUCCAGUACUUCCCGAUGACAAAAGCCCUUCUCAGUUAAAUUCUGCCACUAGUACUGAACCACUCAUUGCAGAAAACAUCAUUGUAGUUCAAGGCAAAAUAAAAUGCUACUAGUCCAGUUCUAUUUCACUUUUAGAAAAAAGAAUUCAUUGAAAUAACCCCGACAACG